rnacentral:rRNA from 1 species
GUGUACUGCGUGCCAGCAGCGGCGGUAAUGCGAAGGAGGCAAACGUUGGUCGGAAUGAUUGGGCGGAAAGCGAACGUAGGCGGCUUUGCAAGUCGGAGGUGAAAUGCCUCGGCGUAACCAAGGAAGUGCAUCCGAAACUGCAGAGCUUGAGUACGAAAGAGGAUCGCGGAAUUCCCGGUGUAGAGGUGAAAUUCGUAGAUAUCGGGAGGAACACCAGUGGCGAAGGCGGCGAUCUGGGUCGAUACUGACGCUGAGGUGCGAAAGCGUGGGGAGCAAACAGGAUUAGAUACCCGUGUAGUC